AGCAGUAGCACGGUAAUACGAAGGGGGCUAGCGUUGUUCGGAUUUACUGGGCGUAAAGCACACGUAGGCGGAUCGAUCAGUCAGGGGUGAAAUCCCAGAGCUCAACUCUGGAACUGCCUUUGAUACUGUCGAUCUGGAGUAUGGAAGAGGUGAGUGGAAUUCCGAGUGUAGAGGUGAAAUUCGUAGAUAUUCGGAGGAACACCAGUGGCGAAGGCGGCUCACUGGUCCAUUACUGACGCUGAGGUGCGAAAGCGUGGGGAGCAAACAGGAUUAGAUACCCCAGUAGUCCCUGUCUCUUAUACC
rnacentral:rRNA from 1 species